rnacentral:rRNA from 1 species
GAUCCUACGGGGGGCAGCAGUCGGGAAUAUUGCGCAAUGGAGGAAACUCUGACGCAGUGACGCCGCGUAUAGGAAGAAGGUUUUCGGAUUGUAAACUAUUGUCGUUAGGGAAGAUAAAAGACUGUACCUAAGGAGGAAGCCACGGCUAACUACGUGCCAGCAGCCGCGGUAAUACGUAGGUGGCAAGCGUUGUUCGGAAUAACUGGGCGUAAAGGAUGCGUAGGCGGUUAAACAAGUUAUAUGUUAAAUAUAUAGGCUUAACCUGUAGAAAGCAUAUAAAACUGUUUAACUAGAGUGCAGGAGAG